rnacentral:rRNA from 1 species
AUGGGUGGACCAUCAUCCAAGGCUAAAUACUACUUACUGACCGAUAGUGAACCAGUACCGUGAGGGAAAGGCGAAAAGAACCCCGGAGAGGGGAGUGAAAUAGAACCUGAAACCGUUUGCGUACAAGCAGUGGGAGCUAGGCUUAGGCUUAGUGACUGCGUACCUUUUGUAUAAUGGGUCAGCGAGUUACUUUCAGUGGCGAGGUUAACUUUAUAGGGGAGCCGUAGAGAAAUCGAGUCUGAAUAGGGCGUUAGUCGCUGGGAGUAGACCCGAAACCGGGCGAUCUAGCCAUGUCCAGGAUGAAGGUUGGGUAACACCAACUGGAGGUCCGAACCGGGUAAUGUUGAAAAAUUAUCGGAUGAGGUGUGGCUAGGAGUGAAAGGCUAAUCAAGCUCGGAGAUAGCUGGUUCUCCCCGAAAGCUAUUUAGGUAGCGCCUUGUGGAUGAUUGCCAGGGGUAGAGCACUGUUUCGGCUAGGGGGCUGUCAUGGCUUACCAAACCGAUGCAAACUCCGAAUACUGGCUAAUUGGACCACGGGAGACACACGGCGGGUGCUAACGUCCGUCGUGGAGAGGGCAACAACCCAGACCGUCGGCUAAGGUCCCUAAGUUAUGGUUAAGUGGGAAACGAUGUGGGAAGGCAUAGACAGCCAGGAGGUUGGCUUAGAAGCAGCCACCCUUUAAAGAAAGCGUAAUAGCUCACUGGUCGAGUCGGCCUGCGCGGAAGAUGUAACGGGGCUAAAACCAUACACCGAAGCUGCGGAUGUCGCGAAUGCGAUGUGGUAGGGGAGCGUUCUGUAGGUCUGUGAAGGUGCAUUGAGAAGUGUGCUGGAGAUAUCAGAAGUGCGAAUGCUGACAUGAGUAACGAUAAUGAAGGUGAAAAACCUUCACGCCGGAAGUCCAAGGUUUCCUGCACGACGUUAAUCGGAGCAGGGUGAGUCGGCCCCUAAGGCGAGGCGGAGACGCGUAGUCGAUGGGAACCAGGUUAAUAUUCCUGGACUUUUUAUAAGUGCGAAGGGGGGACGGAGAAGGCUAGGUGAGCCGGGCGUUGGUAGUCCUGGUGCUUGCAUGUAGGGGGAUAGGAUAGGUAAAUCCGUUCUAUCAUACUCUGAGGUGCGAAGCGGUUCUGACACUUAGGUGUGCGGAGAAGUCAUUGAAGCCACGCUUCCAGGAAAAGCCUCUAAGCGAUAGCUUAUAGAGAACCGUACCGGAAACCGACACAGGUGGACAAGUAGAGCAUACUGAGGCGCUUGAGAGAACUCGGGUGAAGGAACUAGGCAAAAUGGUACCGUAACUUCGGGAGAAGGUACGCCUUUGCUGGUUAGUUGCUUUACGCAAUGAAGCUGGUGGAGGCCGCAGAGACCAGGUGGCUGCGACUGUUUAAUAAAAACACAGCACUCUGCAAAUUCGUAAGAAGACGUAUAGGGUGUGACGCCUGCCCGGUGCCGGAAGGUUAAUUGAUGGGGUUAUCUGAAAGGAGAAGCUCUUGAUCGAAGCCCCGGUAAACGGCGGCCGUAACUAUAACGGUCCUAAGGUAGCGAAAUUCCUUGUCGGGUAAGUUCCGACCUGCACGAAUGGCGUAACGAUGGCCACACUGUCUCCACCCGAGACUCAGUGAAAUUGAAAUUGCGGUGAAGAUGCCGUAUACCCGCGGCUAGACGGAAAGACCCCGUGAACCUUUACUACAGCUUUGCACUGGACUUUGACAAUAACUGUGUAGGAUAGGUGGGAGGCUAUGAAGUGCGAACGCUAGUUUGCAUGGAGCCGACCUUGAAAUACCACCCUGUUGUUGUUGAGGUUCUAACUUGGUUCCAUUAUCUGGGACGAGGACAGUGUAUGGUGGGUAGUUUGACUGGGGCGGUCUCCUCCCAAAGAGUAACGGAGGAGCACAAAGGUACCCUCGGUACGGUCGGACAUCGUACCAAGAGUGUAAAGGCAAAAGGGUGCUUGACUGCGAGAGCGACGGCUCGAGCAGGUACGAAAGUAGGUCUUAGUGAUCCGGUGGUUCUGAGUGGAAGGGCCAUCGCUCAACGGAUAAAAGGUACUCCGGGGAUAACAGGCUGAUACCGCCCAAGAGUUCAUAUCGACGGCGGUGUUUGGCACCUCGAUGUCGGCUCAUCACAUCCUGGGGCUGAAGCAGGUCCCAAGGGUAUGGCUGUUCGCCAUUUAAAGUGGUACGCGAGCUGGGUUUAGAACGUCGUGAGACAGUUCGGUCCCUAUCUGCCGUGGGCGUAGGAAAAUUGAGAGGAGCUGCUCCUAGUACGAGAGGACCGGAGUGGAC